AGAGUUUGAUCCUGGCUCAGAUUGAACGCUGGCGGCAGGCCUAACACAUGCAAGUCGAGCGGUAGAGAGAAGCUUGCUUCUCUUGAGAGCGGCGGACGGGUGAGUAAUGCCUAGGAAUCUGCCUGGUAGUGGGGGAUAACGUCCGGAAACGGACGCUAAUACCGCAUACGUCCUACGGGGGAAAGCAGGGGACCUUCGGGCCUUGCGCUAUCAGAUGAGCCUAGGUCGGAUUAGCUAGUUGGUGGGGUAAUGGCUCACCAAGGCGACGAUCCGUAACUGGUCUGAGAGGAUGAUCAGUCACACUGGAACUGAGACACGGUCCAGACUCCUACGGGAGGCAGCAGUGGGGAAUAUUGGACAAUGGGCGAAAGCCUGAUCCAGCCAUGCCGCGUGUGUGAAGAAGGUCUUCGGAUUGUAAAGCACUUUAAGUUGGGAGGAAGGGCAGUAAAUUAAUACUUUGCUGUUUUGACGUUACCGACAGAAUAAGCACCGGCUAACUCUGUGCCAGCAGCCGCGGUAAUACAGAGGGUGCAAGCGUUAAUCGGAAUUACUGGGCGUAAAGCGCGCGUAGGUGGUUCGUUAAGUUGGAUGUGAAAUCCCCGGGCUCAACCUGGGAACUGCAUUCAAAACUGACGAGCUAGAGUAUGGUAGAGGGUGGUGGAAUUUCCUGUGUAGCGGUGAAAUGCGUAGAUAUAGGAAGGAACACCAGUGGCGAAGGCGACCACCUGGACUGAUACUGACACUGAGGUGCGAAAGCGUGGGGAGCAAACAGGAUUAGAUACCCCGGUAGU
rnacentral:rRNA from 1 species